rnacentral:sRNA from 1 species
AAGUGUGUUUUAUUUUCAAGUAGAUAAUAAAUCGUUGUGGAUCAAUCUUAUUUGUAUGUAAAAAUGGUUUAUGAUUGGUUUACGGCAGUUUUCUUAGUAUAUAUUAUUAUAGAUUCUAAUUUAUGAUUGGUAAAUUAAAAGCGGUUUAAUCUGCAUAGUAUUUGUCCGUCUCAACCGCUGUAAUCAUUUGCAUUUUAAAC